rnacentral:rRNA from 1 species
CAGAGGGUGCAAGCGUUGUUCGGAAUUACUGGGCGUAAAGCGCGCGCAGGCGGGUCCUGUAAGUCGGAAGUGAAAUUUCGGAGCUCAACUCCGAAGCUGCUUCUGAUACUGCGGAUCUAGAGACCGGUAGAGGUCGGUGGAAUUACAGGUGUAGCGGUGGAAUGCGUAGAUAUCUGUAAGAACACCCGUGGCGAAGGCGGCCGACUGGGCCGGAUCUGACGCUGAGGCGCGAAAGCGUGGGGAGCAAACAGGAUUAGAUACCCUGGUAGUCCACGCCGUAAACGAUGGGCACUAGGUGCCGGGGGGAGCGACCCCUUCGGUGCCGCAGCUAACGCGAUAAGUGCCCCGCCUGGGGAGUACGGCCGCAAGGCUG